rnacentral:lncRNA from 1 species
CUGAUGAGGACAACUUCUCUAUUGAGGUCUGAGCUUCCUUCAAAAUGAAAAUUACUAGCCGGAGCUGGGGAUAUGACUCUGCGUUCCAACCCCAGCAUCACAAAACAAAAGCAAAAAGCAAUGGAACAAAACCCAAACAUCAACUUACACAACCGUCACUCAAAUCUCUUUGUCCUCCCAGGGUGAAACUCAAUAUAGGCAAUUCCUGUGGAGGUAAAUGCUUUAAGAGCCUCGACGCCCCCACCCUCAAAAUGUGUAGUUUCUCCUUUUUGCUUAUUAAAGGCAUGCCACUCACUCACUAAUUCUUUGGCUUGCAGAACGUUCAAAGCUAACUUGCUAGCAAACUAUUGUUAAGUGCACAAUGCUCUCAAGAAUUGUCCCUGUGUUCUCUGUACCCGCUGAUCCUUUUUUGUCCCAUAGUUUCCAGACCAGGCGCUUUUCUGCUUACACAUCAUCUGUCAGGAACUGCCCAAUCUCUGCACAGGUCUCUAUCAUACCACAGUAAAACUUCACGUGCUAGGACAUCAAUAUCCCAGAGGCUAUGCCUCCGUAAUUUUGCAAGCAAAACCCCAAAGUGAG